AGAGUUUGAUCAUGGCUCAGGAUAAACGCUGGCGGCGCACAUAAGACAUGCAAGUCGAACGGAAGUCGUUGUAAUGAUUUUAACAUGAACAGAGAACUUGUUCGAAGGAAUUGAAGGAAGACUUACAACAAUGGCUUUAGUGGCGGACUGGUGAGCAACACGUAAGCAACCUGCCUGUUAGAGGGGAAUAACAUCGAGAAAUCGAUGCUAAUACCGCAUAUACCCGGUUAUUCGCAUGAAUAGUUGGGGAAAGGAGCAAUCCGCUAACAGAUGGGCUUGCGUCUGAUUAGUUAGUUGGUGGGGUAAUGGCCUACCAAGACCGCGAUCAGUAGCCGGACUGAGAGGUUGAACGGCCACAUUGGGACUGAGAUACGGCCCAGACUCCUACGGGAGGCAGCAGUCGGGAAUAUUGCGCAAUGGAGGAAACUCUGACGCAGUGACGCCGCGUAUAGGAAGAAGGUUUUCGGAUUGUAAACUAUUGUCUGCAGGGAAGAAAAAAGACAGUACCUGCAAAGAAAGCUCCGGCUAACUACGUGCCAGCAGCCGCGGUAAUACGUAGGGAGCAAGCGUUAUCCGGAUUUAUUGGGUGUAAAGGGUGCGUAGACGGGAAAUUAAGUUAGUUGUGAAAACCCUCGGCUUAACUGAGGAAUUGCAACUAAAACUGAUAUUCUUGAGUGCAGGAGAGGAAAGUGGAAUUCCUAGUGUAGCGGUGAAAUGCGUAGACAUUAGGAGGAACACCAGUGGCGAAGGCGACUUUCUGGCCUGUAACUGACGUUGAGGCACGAAAGCGUGGGGAGCAA
rnacentral:rRNA from 1 species